rnacentral:rRNA from 1 species
AUUGAGCGCUGGCGGCAGGCUUAACACAUGCAAGUCGAGCGGGGAAAAGUAGCUUGCUACUGGACCUAGCGGCGGACGGGUGAGUAAUGCUUAGGAAUCUGCCUAUUAGUGGGGGACAACAUCUCGAAAGGGAUGCUAAUACCGCAUACGUCCUACGGGAGAAAGCAGGGGACCUUCGGGCCUUGCGCUAAUAGACGAGCCUAAGUCGGAUUAGCUAGUUGGUGGGGUAAGGGCCUACCAAGGCGACGAUCUGUAGCGGGUCUGAGAGGAUGAUCCGCCACACUGGGACUGAGACACGGCCCAGACUCCUACGGGAGGCAGCAGUGGGGAAUAUUGGACAAUGGGGGGAACCCUGAUCCAGCCAUGCCGCGUGUGUGAAGAAGGCCUCUUGGUUGUAAAGCACUUUAAGCGAGGAGGAGGCUACCGAGAUUAAUACUCUUGGAUAGUGGACGUUACUCGCAGAAUAAGCACCGGCUAACUCUGUGCCAGCCGCCGCCGUAA